rnacentral:RNase_P_RNA from 1 species
AGCCGGACGUCUGAUCGCGGGUCGACUACGAGAGCGACAUGAGGAAAGUCCGGGCAACAAAGAGCACCAUACUUCUUAACGGGAAGCUGCCGGUGACGGCAGAGCAGCGUGACAGAAAACGACCGCCGCAUACUCGCAUGAGCAGUAUGCGGUAAGGGUGAAAAGGCGGUGUAAGAGACCACCGGGUCCUGUGGCGACACGGGAUGCCGCACGCCUUAUGGGUUGCAAGGCCAAGUAUACCGGCAUUUAAGGGUUGCUCGCCCAUUGCCGGGGGGUAGGCUGCUGGAGCGAGGUGGUGACACAUCGCGUAGAUAAAUGAUCAGACGGCCUGACGUGCCGUGUUUUAUAUCGGAACUGUCAGACUGACAUAACCCGGCUUAUAGUCCGGCUCCU